CAGUUUUUUGGUGGUCCCCUCCCGUUUUCGGCAAAGAUGGUAACGACCCAUUUGCAUUUGGUCUUGGUCUAGCUCUAGACUUGAGUUCGAGUUCGCAAGAUGAACGAUACCAAGUCGGGAUUUGGUUUGCUAAUCUUCUUACCAUACCCUUGCUUCAUUGGCAUAUUCGUAAGUUUAGUAAUUUAUCUUUAGUCUUUUGAAUGCGUCUGAAGGAAAUCGAGCAUAGUUGUGAUUAUUUGCAUCUUGGCGUGGCCAAUGCAGCCAUGGCUCCCUCUGCUCGGUUAGUAAAUUAUCUUUAGUCUUAUUCGAUGGCAAUACGCCAUUGAAAUUUGAGAAGAAUUUAGCCUUUGAAUCCGUUUGUAGAAGCACAUUUCUAAGAAUUAUGAGUUUAUUUAUGCCUUAAGUAUUUGAAUUGAUUUUAGAAUGAUCUAGGAACCACCUUUGUUGACAUCACGACUUUAAUUUAAUGCCAACUUUGUUGAU
rnacentral:lncRNA from 1 species